rnacentral:rRNA from 1 species
CAGUCGACGCUUCUUUUUCCACCGGAGCUUGCUCCACCGGAAAAAGAGGAGUGGCGAACGGGUGAGUAACACGUGGGUAACCUGCCCAUCAGAAGGGGAUAACACUUGGAAACAGGUGCUAAUACCGUAUAACAAUCGAAACCGCAUGGUUUUGAUUUGAAAGGCGCUUUCGGGUGUCGCUGAUGGAUGGACCCGCGGUGCAUUAGCUAGUUGGUGAGGUAACGGCUCACCAAGGCCACGAUGCAUAGCCGACCUGAGAGGGUGAUCGGCCACAUUGGGACUGAGACACGGCCCAAACUCCUACGGGAGGCAGCAGUAGGGAAUCUUCGGCAAUGGACGAAAGUCUGACCGAGCAACGCCGCGUGAGUGAAGAAGGUUUUCGGAUCGUAAAACUCUGUUGUUAGAGAAGAACAAGGAUGAGAGUAACUGUUCAUCCCUUGACGGUAUCUAACCAGAAAGCCACGGCUAACUACGUGCCAGCAGCCGCGGUAAUACGUAGGUGGCAAGCGUUGUCCGGAUUUAUUGGGCGUAAAGCGAGCGCAAGCGGUUUCUUAAGUCUGAUGUGAAAGCCCCCGGCUCAACCGGGGAGGGUCAUUGGAAACUGGGAGACUUGAGUGCAGAAGAGGAGAGUGGAAUUCCAUGUGUAGCGGUG